AAACUGGGAAGGAAAGAAAGAAAAGAAAGAAAGAAAGAGAAAAAGGAA
rnacentral:ribozyme from 14 species